rnacentral:tRNA from 1 species
GGUUCCGUGGUUUAGUUGGUCAUAACGUCUGCUUAACACGCAUAAGGUCCCCAGUUCGAACCUGGGCGGAAUCA